GCCCGGUUAGCUCAGUCGGUAGAGCAUGAGGUUCUUAAUCUCAAGGUCGUGGGUUUGAGCCCCACAUUGGGUG